rnacentral:rRNA from 1 species
UACCAGCUGGCUGCAACUGUUUAUUAAAAACACAGCACUGUGCAAACACGAAAGUGGACGUAUACGGUGUGACGCCUGCCCGGUGCCGGAAGGUUAAUUGAUGGGGUCAGCGCAAGCGAAGCUCCUGAUCGAAGCCCCGGUAAACGGCGGCCGUAACUAUAACGGUCCUAAGGUAGCGAAAUUCCUUGUCGGGUAAGUUCCGACCUGCACGAAUGGCGUAAUGAUGGCCAGGCUGUCUCCACCCGAGACUCAGUGAAAUUGAACUCGCUGUGAAGAUGCAGUGUACCCGCGGCAAGACGGAAAGACCCCGUGAACCUUUACUAUAGCUUGACACUGAACAUUGAGCCUUGAUGUGUAGGAUAGGUGGGAGGCUUUGAAGCGUGGACGCCAGUCUGCGUGGAGCCGACCUUGAAAUACCACCCUUUAAUGUUUGAUGUUCUAACGUGGACCCGUAAUCCGGGUUGCGGACAGUGUCUGGUGGGUAGUUUGACUGGGGCGGUCUCCUCCUAAAGAGUAACGGAGGAGCACGAAGGUUGGCUAAUCCUGGUCGGACAUCAGGAGGUUAGUGCAAUGGCAUAAGCCAGCUUGACUGCGAGCGUGACGGCGCGAGCAGGUGCGAAAGCAGGUCAUAGUGAUCCGGUGGUUCUGAAUGGAAGGGCCAUCGCUCAACGGAUAAAAGGUACUCCGGGGAUAACAGGCUGAUACCGCCCAAGAGUUCAUAUCGACGGCGGUGUUUGGCACCUCGAUGUCGGCUCAUCACAUCCUGGGGCUGAAGUAGGUCCCAAGGGUAUGGCUGUUCGCCAUUUAAAGUGGUACGCGAGCUGGGUUUAGAACGUCGUGAGACAGUUCGGUCCCUAUCUGCCGUGGGCGCUGGAAGACUGAGGGGGGCUGCUCCUAGUACGAGAGGACCGGAGUGGACGCAUCACUGGUGUUCGGGUUGUCAUGCCAAUGGCACUGCCCGGUAGCUAAAUGCGGAAAAGAUAAGUGCUGAAAGCAUCUAAGCACGAAACUUGCCCCGAGAUGAGUCUUCCCUGAGACCUUGAGUCUCCUGAAGGAACGUUAAAGACGAUGACGUUGAUAGGCCGGGUGUGUAAGCGCAGCGAUGCGUUGAGCUAACCGGUACUAAUGAACCGUGAGGCUUAACCUUACAA